AACGAACGCUGGCGGCAUGCCUAACACAUGCAAGUCGAACGAGACCUUCGGGUCUAGUGGCGCACGGGUGCGUAACGCGUGGGAACCUGCCCUUAGGUUCGGAAUAACUCCCCGAAAGGGGUGCUAAUACCGGAUAAUGUCUUCGGACCAAAGAUUUAUCGCCUUUGGAUGGGCCCGCGUUGGAUUACCUAGUUGGUAGGGUAAAAGCCUACCAAGGCGACGAUCCAUAGCUGGGCUGAGAGAAUGAUCAGCCACACUGUGACUGAGACACGGCGCAGACUCUUACAGGAUGCAGCAGUGGCGGAUAUUGGAACACGGGCGGUGGGAUGAAGGAGCACUGCUGGGAGAGUGAUGAAGGCCUUAGGGUUGUACAGCUCUUUUACACGGGAUGAUAAUGACAGUACCGGGAGAAUAAGCUCCGGCUAACUACGUG
rnacentral:rRNA from 1 species